GAUGAACGCUGGCGGCGUGCCUAAUACAUGCAAGUCGAGCGAACAGAUGAGGAGCUUGCUCCUCUGACGUUAGCGGCGGACGGGUGAGUAACACGUGGAUAACCUACCUAUAAGACUGGGAUAACUUCGGGAAACCGGAGCUAAUACCGGAUAAUAUAUUGAACCGCAUGGUUCAAUAGUGAAAGACGGUUUUGCUGUCACUUAUAGAUGGAUCCGCGCCGCAUUAGCUAGUUGGUAAGGUAACGGCUUACCAAGGCAACGAUGCGUAGCCGACCUGAGAGGGAGAGAAGCCAGCAUGGAAGUGUGAACAGGUAAAGACGACAGCGGGACGCAGCAGUGGGGAAUGAUGGAGAAUGGGCGGAAGCAGGACGGAGGAAGGAAGAGUGGGAGAAGAAAGUGUUAGGAACGUAAGACCCUGUUGGUGGGAAAGAACAAGAGAGCAAUUACAAAUCACGGGCUUGACGGUACCUAAUCAGAAAGGAACGGAUAACUACGUG
rnacentral:rRNA from 1 species